rnacentral:rRNA from 1 species
AGGUCACUGCUAUCGGUGUUCGAUUAAGCCAUGCGAGUCGUGAGGGGUAAAGCCCUCGGCGGAGUGCUCAGUAACACGUGGACAACCUACCCAAGAGUCAGGGAUAACCCCGGGAAACUGGGGAUAACACCUGAUAGGCCAUGACAUCUGGAAUCGAGUUGUGGUUUAAACGUAAGGCUCUUGGAUGGGUCUGCGGCGGAUUAGGUUGUUGCCGGUGUAACGUACCAGCAAGCCUGUAAUCCGUACGGGUUGUGGGAGCAAGAGCCCGGAGAUGGAUUCUGAGACACGAAUCCAGGCCCUACGGGGCGCAGCAGGCGCGAAAACUCUACAAUGCAGGCAACUGCGAUAGGGGAACAUCGAGUGGCACCCACCAUGGGUGUCUGUCCAAUCGUCUAAAAAACGAUUGUCAGCAAGGGCCGGGCAAGACCGGUGCCAGCCGCCGCGGUAAUACCGGCGGCUCGAGUGGUGGCCGAUAUUAUUGAGUCUAAAGGGUCCGUAGCCGGCUUUGCAAGUCCCCUGGGAAAUCCAGCGGCUUAGCCGUUGGGCUUUCAUGGGAUACUACAUUGCUUGGGACUGGGAGAGGUAGGAGGUACUCAGGGGGUAGGGGUGAAAUCCUGUAAUCCUUUGGGGACCACCGGUGGCGAAGGCGUCCUACCAGAACAGGUCCGACGGUGAGGGACGAAAGCUAGGGGCACGAACCGGAUUAGAUACCCGGGUAGUCCUAGCCGUAAACGAUGCUCGCUAGGUGUCACGGCAGUCGUGAAUUGUCGUGGUGCCGUAGGGAAGCCGUGAAGCGAGCCACUUGGGAAGUACGACCGCAAGGUUGAAACUUAA